CUACGGGUGGCUGCAGUGAGGAAUAUUGCACAAUGGGGGGAACCCUGAUGCAGCAACGCCGCGUGGAGGAUGACGCAUUUCGGUGUGUAAACUCCUUUUAUAUGUCAAGAAAAUGACGGUAGCAUAUGAAUAAGCACCGGCUAACUCCGUGCCAUCAGCCGCGGUAAUACGGAGGGUGCAAGCGUUACUCGGAAUCACUGGGCGUAAAGGACGCGUAGGCGGGUUGGAAAGUCAGGUGUGAAAUCCUACAGCUUAACUGUAGAACUGCACUUGAAACUUCUAAUCUAGAGUAUGGGAGGGGGAGAUGGAAUUAGUGGUGUAGGGGUAAAAUCCGUAGACAUCACUAGGAAUACCUAAAGCGAAGGCGAUCUCCUGGAACAUUACUGACGCUAAGGCGUGAAAGCGUGGGGAGCAAACAGGAUUAGAUACCCGAGUAGUC
rnacentral:rRNA from 1 species